rnacentral:rRNA from 1 species
UACGGAGGGAGCUAGCGUUGUUCGGAAUUACUGGGCGUAAAGCGCACGUAGGCGGCUUUGUAAGUUAGAGGUGAAAGCCCGGGGCUCAACUCCGGAACUGCCUUUAAGACUGCAUCGCUUGAAUCCGGGAGAGGUGAGUGGAAUUCCGAGUGUAGAGGUGAAAUUCGUAGAUAUUCGGAAGAACACCAGUGGCGAAGGCGGCUCACUGGACCGGUAUUGACGCUGAGGUGCGAAAACGUGGGGAGCAAACAGG